rnacentral:rRNA from 1 species
AUGGCGGAGGAACCGUCCGACAAGCGUCAUCAUGCCGAGACGUCGGACAAGAGGAGCAACCUCGUCGACAUUAAUGUCACCGGUGAGAAGCGCGAGUACACCAGAACGCUCAAAGGGGUUGAGCUCCACGGCAAGGAGACGCUAGAGAUCGUCUGCACCAGCAAACCAGACAAGGCCGAGGAGGUGAUCUCCAGGCUCUGGAGGAAGCUUGGCGGCAGGUUUCGUAGGAUCGUCGGUGUUGGUGUGCACUACACCAACGAAGAUGAACCUCCCCAGAUGGCAGUAGUCCUGCAGUUGUGCGUCAACGAACUCUGCUUGGUGUACCACAUUGCAGCGGCCACAAAAUGGUGA